UGGGGAAUUUUGGACAAUGGGGGCAACCCUGAUCCAGCAAUGCCGCGUGAGUGAAGAAGGCCUUCGGGUUGUAAAGCUCUUUUGUCAGGGAAGAAACGGUAGUAGCGAAUAACUAUUACUAAUGACGGUACCUGAAGAAUAAGCACCGGCUAACUACGUGCCAGCAGCCGCGGUAAUACGUAGGGUGCAAGCGUUAAUCGGAAUUACUGGGCGUAAAGCGUGCGCAGGCGGUUGUGUAAGUCAGAUGUGAAAUCCCCGGGCUCAACCUGGGAAUUGCAUUUGAGACUGCACGGCUAGAGUGUGUCAGAGGGGGGUAGAAUUCCACGUGUAGCAGUGAAAUGCGUAGAUAUGUGGAGGAAUACCGAUGGCGAAGGCAGCCCCCUGGGAUAACACUGACGCUCAUGCACGAAAGCGUGGGGAGCAAACAGGAUUAGAUACCCUAGUAGUCCCUGAGCGGGCUGGCAAGGCG
rnacentral:rRNA from 1 species